rnacentral:rRNA from 1 species
GAUGAACGCUAGCGACAGGCCUAACACAUGCAAGUCGAGGGGCAGCACAAGGAGCAAUCUGAGGUGGCGACCGGCGCACGGGUGAGUAACACGUAUGCAACCUGCCUGUAAGCGGGGGAUAACCCGUUGAAAGACGGACUAAUACCGCAUAAUACUGGAGAGUCUGCAUGGAUAUUCAGUUAAACAUUUAUGGCUUACAGAUGGGCAUGCGCAUGAUUAGAUAGUUGGAGAGGUAACGGCUCCCCAAGUCAACGAUCAUUAGGGGUUCUGAGAGGAAGGUCCCCCAACUGGUACUGAGACACGGGACCAGACUCCUACGGGAGGCAGCAGUGAGGAAUAUUGGUCAAUGGGCGAGAGCCUGAACCAGCCAAGUCGCGUGCAGGAAGAAUGUCCUAUGGAUUGUAAACUGCUUUUGCAGGGGAAUAAAGUGAGCCACGUGUGGUUUUUGUAUGUACUCUGCGAAUAAGGAUCGGC